rnacentral:rRNA from 1 species
UGGGGAAUAUUGGACAAUGGGGGGAACCCUGAUCCAGCCAUGCCGCGUGUGUGAAGAAGGCCUUAUGGUUGUAAAGCACUUUAAGCGAGGAGGAGGGUACUGGUAUUAAUACUACCAGCUACUGGACGUUACUCGCAGAAUAAGCACCGGCUAACUCUGUGCCAGCAGCCGCGGUAAUACAGAGGGUGCGAGCGUUAAUCGGAUUUACUGGGCGUAAAGCGUGCGUAGGCGGCUAAUUGAGUCGGAUGUGAAAUCCCCGAGCUUAACUUGGGAACUGCAUCCAAAACUGGCGAGCUAGAGUAGGGCAGAGGGUGGUGGAAUUUCCUGUGUAGCGGUGAAAUGCGUAGAUAUAGGAAGGAACACCAGUGGCGAAGGCGACCACCUGGGCUCAUACUGACACUGAGGUGCGAAAGCGUGGGGAGCAAACAGG